rnacentral:rRNA from 1 species
GGGGAGUGACGUCAAGUCAGCACGGCCCUUACUUGGCCUUGGGCUACACACACGCUACAAUGGGCGGUACGAAUGGGUUGCAAUAGAGCGAUUUGGAGCUAAUCCUAAAAGCCGUCCUCAGUCCAGAUUGCAGGCUGAAACCCGCCUGCAUGAAGUCGGAGUUGCUAGUAACCGCAGGUCAGCAUACGGCGGUGAAUACGUUCUCGGGCCUU